rnacentral:rRNA from 1 species
CAGAGCAAUCUGUGUGACUGCGUACCUUUUGUAUAAUGGGUCAGCGACUUAUAUUCUGUAGCAAGGUUAACCGAAUAGGGGAGCCGAAGGGAAACCGAGUCUUAACUGGGCGUUAAGUUGCAGGGUAUAGACCCGAAACCCGGUGAUCUAGCCAUGGGCAGGUUGAAGGUUGGGUAACACUAACUGGAGGACCGAACCGACUAAUGUUGAAAAAUUAGCGGAUGACUUGUGGCUGGGGGUGAAAGGCCAAUCAAACCGGGAGAUAGCUGGUUCUCCCCGAAAGCUAUUUAGGUAGCGCCUCGUGAAUUCAUCUCCGGGGGUAGAGCACUGUUUCGGCAAGGGGGUCAUCCCGACUUACCAACCCGAUGCAAACUGCGAAUACCGGAGAAUGUUAUCACGGGAGACACACGGCGGGUGCUAACGUCCGUCGUGAAGAGGGAAACAACCCAGACCGCCAGCUAAGGUCCCAAAGUCAUGGUUAAGUGGGAAACGAUGUGGGAAGGCCCAGACAGCCAGGAUGUUGGCUUAGAAGCAGCCAUCAUUUAAAGAAAGCGUAAUAGCUCACUGGUCGAGUCGGCCUGCGCGGAAGAUGUAACGGGGCUAAACCAUGCACCGAAGCUGCGGCAGCGACGCUUAUGCGUUGUUGGGUAGGGGAGCGUUCUGUAAGCCUGCGAAGGUGUGCUGUGAGGCAUGCUGGAGGUAUCAGAAGUGCGAAUGCUGACAUAAGUAACGAUAAAGCGGGUGAAAAGCCCGCUCGCCGGAAGACCAAGGGUUCCUGUCCAACGUUAAUCGGGGCAGGGUGAGUCGACCCCUAAGGCGAGGCCGAAAGGCGUAGUCGAUGGGAAACAGGUUAAUAUUCCUGUACUUGGUGUUACUGCGAAGGGGGGACGGAGAAGGCUAUGUUGGCCGGGCGACGGUUGUCCCGGUUUAAGCGUGUAGGCUGGUUUUCCAGGCAAAUCCGGAAAAUCAAGGCUGAGGCGUGAUGACGAGGCACUACGGUGCUGAAGCAACAAAUGCCCUGCUUCCAGGAAAAGCCUCUAAGCAUCAGGUAACAUCAAAUCGUACCCCAAACCGACACAGGUGGUCAGGUAGAGAAUACCAAGGCGCUUGAGAGAACUCGGGUGAAGGAACUAGGCAAAAUGGUGCCGUAACUUCGGGAG